rnacentral:rRNA from 1 species
UAGGGUUCGAUUAUGGCUCAGGAUGAACGCUAGCGGCAGGCUUAACACAUGCAAGUCGAGGGGUAACAGGUAGCUUGCUAUGCUGACGACCGGCGAACGGGUGCGUAACGCGUAUAGAAUCUGCCUUGUACAGGAGGAUAGCCUUUAGAAAUGAAGAUUAACACUCCAUAGUGCUGAGAGGUGGCAUCACUUUUUAGUUAAACAUUUAUGGGUACAAGAUGACUAUGCGUCCUAUUAGCUAGAUGGUAAGGUAACGGCUUACCAUGGCAACGAUAGGUAGGGGGUCUGAGAGGAUUAUCCCCCACACUGGUACUGAGACACGGACCAGACUCCUACGGGAGGCAGCAGUGAGGAAUAUUGGACAAUGGAGGCAACUCUGAUCCAGCCAUGCCGCGUGCAGGAAGACGGCCCUAUGGGUUGUAAACUGCUUUUAUACAGGAAGAAACCAUCUCACGUGUGAGAUCUUGACGGUACUGUAAGAAUAAGCACCGGCUAACUCCGUGCCAGCCGCCGCGGUAAUACA